rnacentral:tRNA from 1 species
GCGGGAGGUAAUCGAUUUUAUGGCUGUCUGGUUGCAUACCUGCAAACACUUCUUAAUGUGAUGCUCAGAGAAAUACUUCAGCUUCCCAAGCUGAAUGUCGUCGGUUCGAUCCCGAUCGCCCGCUCCA